UCAAUGCUUGUCUUUCUCGCCUGAGUCGUUGACGUGCAAGGACGUCUCGUUGUUCUCCUGUGGGCAGAGGUGUACUCUGUCGUUAAGGCCGUGGGUGGUGCACAUGUGCCGGACAGCUAGCUGAUGGGCGCCAGACUGUAAUGGUGAUCAGCCGGCUGCUACUGCCACCAGAGCCGGUGAGGCCAUGAACUGCACCUCUCUACCGAUUCCAGAUGGACCAUCUGGCCUUCGACCACAUCUGUUCCUUUGGUGUUCUAUAUGCCGAGGAAUCCGGGAGAAGGUGACUCAGGGCAUCUCAACACAACUCACCGUCACUGUCCGUCUUAACCAUCAGAGUUCUUGCCGCCAGCUGAGGACACACCGUUCAUCAUUGUGUUUGAGGUGCAAGAGAUGCGGGGAGGAGACUGCCAGGGAGGUGAUGGGAGAGAGGGAGCCCCGUGCUGCUUCACCUUUCCCAGGGUGAGUGCUGGCAGUCUGGCCAGGCGGCGGUGGUGGUGGUGGUGGCGGUGGUGACGCUACCCGGGGACAGGCAGCGUGGUGGUGGUUGGCCUGGUGUCUCUGGCCAGGUGGUGCGGGGCCUGGAGGAGGUGCAGGAGGCAGCCCGCCACUGCCCCACUGCUGAGGUGACUGUGGUGCAGUGUGGCGUGGUGCUGGCACGGCACUGCUGCACCACACCACACACCACACCACUGCCACCAUCAUUUAUUUAUUUAUUUAUUUUUGAGUAGACAAGCAAACACAUACACACGCCCAUUAACAGACAGACACACACACACAUACAGACAGACAGACAGACACACAUGUAAAGUUGAGAGUGCGGGUUGUGAUGGUGGCGGUUGUUAGUGUGAAUAUUGGCGGCAGGACACACCGCUCCACGCAUUGCUCCUUCACUAACAACACGAAAGUUAUCAAUAUUCACACUGUCU